GGGGCGGGACCUAAUGACAAGAGGCAUCAGACUGCACCUUUAUCUGCGGACACCUGGACCUUCUCUUCAGGCUUCUCUCAGUGAUUAGAAUAUAAAAGUCAGCAAGUAUGCCUAGUACUAUUGAGGUGAUAUAUACAAUUUACCUCUGGUACCGGAAAUAGUUUCUGCCAUUCUGUUCUGAGGCCUGUCUGCAAAGUCAACUCCUUUAUUCACCAGAACUUCUUUUAGUCCUUUGAGUCCCCGGAUCACCACAGCCGGUGUGAAUCCCAGGUAGAUGCUGUACACCGGACCAUACACCUCGGAGAACUGACACAGAAGGGUCAUAUUGUGUGUUAGCUAUAACAACUUGGCCCCCUCUACUGAACAGCGUGAACGGAAAGACCGCCUCCCCAUGUUGGAACUCUGGAUUGUCCAGGAACGUCUGAAACAAGGACUUGUGCCCCCCUAAAUUUCGAAUGCGUCUGAGAAUAUGCCACAGGCGAUAUGUCGACCAAAGAAGAGGGUUAUCUUUCAAUUCCUGGUCGAAUUCCGCUUCCACCCCGUGAAGGAAAGAUAUUAGGUUUCUGGACCCUACAAAUUGUGCCUCCAGCUGUGUAUUAGCAUAAGUGUUACUAUCAUGUAACCAGUCUCUUAAAAAUCUCAAUAAAGAAGCAUGGUUGUA